AGUGUUCUAUAUAUGUCUUUGAGGUCAAGUUGGCUGAUCUGUUCUGUUUAAUUUUUCUUUAACUUAUAUCUUGAUGACCAGCCGGAAAUCAGAACCUCCUGGACUGGCAAGCGCCUGCACUGUCUGUCAUGCUGGCUGUUUGCACAUGGAUGAGGAAAGGUCAUGUACUGUGAAGCAUUUACAGAUGAGUCUGUUAAAUCUCAGCCCGCCAUAGGUGUACGCUGGGCCUUCAGCGGUUACGUAACCGAUUGUGCAACUGCAGCGUGAGGUAAUGCGGUUUGUCCUUUACAAGGAGGAGUUUUCUGGAAAAGAGCCCUGAAGAGAGUAAAGGUAUGCCUUCCCUCUUUCUGAGACCUGGGGCCACGAAGGGAACCUGAUGACAGAAGGUGCUUCCGUAUCACGCCGAGCAGUCCGCCUGGGCCGUCUCAGGAACCAUCCUGGAAGCCUUUGUGCCUCUUCAGUCUGGCCACAUGCCAGGCUCUGACGAUGCCUGCUCAUGGAUGCAGCUCAUGGAAUCCUCAUGACAUCCCUGCGUGGGAGGUGACAUUGUUCUCCUCUUAGGGAGAAGAGACACAGUGACUGACAGAGAAAGAUGGUCUCGUGACAACAGAGACAGGUGUCCUGUAAGCCAAGGACCACCAAGGAUUGCCAGCCAUCACCAGAAGCUAGGAGAGAGGAAGGGAGUUCUUCCCUGGGGAUUUCUGCCUACAUCUCAUUGUCCAAAACUGUGUCAUGUGACCACGCCUAGCUGCAAAGGAGGCUUGGAAUUCUAGUAUUCCACUCUCCAGUGCCUUGGAUUGAGAAAGACAGAGGAGAAGAGGGUUGAAAUGAGUGUGGGAGAAGAACGUGGUUGGAGCUUCUGGAGGAGGUGCUCAGCUGCACUGAGUUGGCACUGAGGUUUUCUGGAAAUGUGGCAGACAGUGGUGAGUGGGGCAAAGGCUGACAGGGCAAGAUAAACAGACCUAGUAGAUUAUAAGGAGUCCCUGGGUGGCACAAAUAGUUAAACAUUUGACUACUU